CGGAGGGUGACGGGCGCUUCCCCGCCCGGAGCCGCCGCCGCUGCAGCCGCUGCCGCGGCCCCGCUGCCGCCCGGCUCGGCCCGGCCCGGCCCGGCCCGGGGCGCCCCCGCCGGCCCCUCCUGUGUGUCUCCCCGGCCGGCUCCCGCCGCGUCGCCCCGGCUCCUCUGGCUCAUCGGACGCCCCGGCCCGGCCAUGGCGGACUUCGAUGAGAUCUACGAAGAGGAGGAGGACGAGGAACGGGCGCUGGAGGAGCAGCUGCUGAAGUACUCCCCCGACCCGGUGGUGGUGCGCGGCUCUGGCCAUGUCACCGUGUUUGGACUAAGCAACAAAUUUGAAGCAGAGUUUCCUUCAUCUUUAACUGGAAAGGUUGCACCUGAAGAAUUCAAAGCCAGCAUCAGUAGAGUCAACAGUUGUCUUAAGAAGAAUCUUCCAGUUAAUGUGCGAUGGCUACUAUGUGGAUGCCUUUGCUGCUGCUGCACUUUAGGUUGUAGUAUGUGGCCAGUUAUCUGCCUCAGUAAAAGAACACGAAGAUCGAUUGAGAAGUUAUUAGAAUGGGAAAACAAUAGGUUAUACCACAAGCUGUGCUUGCAUUGGAGACUAAGCAAAAGGAAAUGUGAAACGAAUAACAUGAUGGAAUAUGAAACAUUGUCAAACCCAAUGUUCUGCAGAUUCAGUUGGAAAAAAAAUAAUGUGAGUUUGUAAAUACUAUGGCCCAGCAACAUUUACAGAUGAAUAUUCAUUCUAUCAAAUAUAUUUUCAAAUCAGUUGACCUGCUUACUAUAAUAAUAUAUCUGCUUACUAUAAUAAUAUAUGUAUGGGCAUAUAGUUUCACAGGAUAAAGGUCAAAGAUUUUAUUUUCAAUUUGUGACAUGUCAGGUAUUAUCUUUGGGUAUAUUUGAUGAGAUAAUUUUUACAAAACCUCAAUGUGACAUUUUCUCAAUUUCAGUGAACUGAUUUGCUCGGGUCUUUAAAAACAGCUCCUAGUAUGAUUGUGAUUUAAUUUUAAAUAAUAGAUUCCUAUCCUCAACUUUUCACUAAACAGACAAUUAAAAUUAGACUCUUGUACCCAAAAUUUGGUGCUUCACCAAACUGAGGUUUGAAAUCCGCUGUAGUAGAUGUUAAAUUAAAUAAAUAAUUAAUUAAAUUAAGAAAGACAAGAUAUUCUUACACCUUUGACAUAAACACAGUGCUUCAGCUUUGUUUUCUGCUCCCUUGUAAAAAACUUGCCUGAGAAUCAGAAGCCCUGGUAUCUCUACAGAAUCCAGUGGUUGACUUGGGUCAGUGAUCAGUGGAUUUUGAGCAGUUUGCUUUACUUCUGAAAAUAAGUCACUUCUGAAUAUCUCAAAAAAUAAACUUGUAUACCUAAUUUCAGGAUUUGUAAUUCCAAAAGUGCUUGCCUUAGUAAGUCUCCAAUCUUAUUUCUUUUAUUUUCUGAGGCUUUGUAUGCUUCCAGAGCUAGAAGUCUUUAUUUUCUAAGCAGCUAAGUUGUAUUCUCCUUUACAUUCACAAACAUUGAGAAAUAAUUUUUAACUUCUUAAAAAGGUGAGUUUCCCUUACAGGUAAAUAAAAUCCUUAUUUUUAUUACCAGAUGCAUUUUUUUAUUUAUAAAUCAGAUCAUGCUGCUGUGUUAUGACUGUCUCCAAAGAAUGAAUGUGCACAAGUCAACAUUUUCUUCAAGCUUCCUAUUUAAGGAGGAUAAAUACUUGGAUUGUGUUCUGGAGUGGACCCUAUAGUGUACUUAGCUGAGAAAAAUGUAGUUUAAAUUUGAAUUGAGACCAUAAGAAUAAUCAUGCAAAACCAUUAGUCAAGUUCUUCUUAACUACUUGAACAUUUGUAGAUAUGGGAACUUUUCAAAAGUUGAUACACUUUUUUAUACAGGUAUUGAACUAUAAACAUGAUUUAGAAUCCUGUAUUAAGUGGCAACAAUUCUGAAGUCAUCCUUAUAGAAUUUUUACCAAAGACACCGAUUUUUCGACCAGAUUAGCAUUCGAUUUAUUUAUAGAGACUUACUCAAGUAUGUUGUCUUUCCAAUGGUGCCUUGCUUGGUGCUCUCCUGAUAGUGACAUAACUUUGGUUCUACAGAAUCUUGUGGUGGUUUCAUUUGGUUUUUUGUUUGUUUGUUUUGGGUUUUCAUGUUUGUUUCUUUUGGUUUAUUUUUGGUUGGUUAGUUGGUUUUUUUUGUGUUUUUUUAAAUAAGAGUAUGUUCUAAGUGUAUUUGGUCAAACUCUGCAAAGUAAUUUCAUACAACUGUUAAUUACUACUUAAGUUAUUUUUACUUUUGCUACUUCUGUUUAUUAAUGUAUCUUGAUUUUCAAAGGAGUCUUUUAUAUGUGUGCGCGCGUGUGUACAUAUAUAUAUUACUAUAAAUACACAGCUGAAAAUGAUAUACAAGUGAACAGGUAUUUUUUUAUCCCUAUAUGAUACAACUGGUUGACUCUACAUUGUGUAAAUUCCUUUAGUCAUUCUGAAGUUACUGAAGUUCCUUCUAAGAUACUUGGACGCUUCUGUCAGUGACUAGUCAGUUGUAAAUACUUUUAUUUCUUUUUGGGAUAUUGACUAGUCUCUUCCAGCAAAGGAGGAGACAAAGUUCUUUUUGAAACCCAAAUAUUGUUAGUAGAAAUCUCUAUGCUGUUCAUGAAGAAGUCCUGUCAACUGGUUCUGAAAAAGUUUGGCUUUAAAAAAUUUAAAAAAUAAGGCAGCCAAGUGAAAUUAUUUAACUCAGACUAGAAGAAUCACUGAGAGCAUUGCAUGCAUCUGGUUAGUAGAACUCAAUUUCACAAAAGUAUAUUAUUUCAUUUUAUAAUAUAGCUGUUUUAAUUCAGUCAGUUGCCAUGUGCCAGCUUUAUUCAUGCUGUUUACCAGAUCUUGUACACAGGGGUGCAGAAGGACUUGUUUUAGCAAAAUUUAUUUGCCCAAGGAAACCGUUCAUGGUUGGUUUUGUUUAUUUUAAAGCCACAUACACAGGAAAAAAGUUACUGAAUUCUUGAACAGUGCAGUUCCAGUUGCAAAUCCAUGAAUUAAAGCAAUCAAAGCAGGGUGCACUGGGCAACAGUGUAUGCUUAAAUGUGUUAGGCAAUUAUUUAUUGUACCCUUUCUUCUGCUUAUUUCAGUUUACAAAGCUUAUUUUCUGUACAAGUAUAAGACUUUUUUACUGGAUGUAUGAUGUAUGCUUGGGUCAGGCCAGUUGUAUUUCAUUUCUUCUGAUUAUACUUUAGUUUUACAUAUCUUCACACAUAGCUUUUGGGGUUUUUUACUUGCAACUGUCAUACUGUAAAAUUUACUUAGGUAUCUAAAAUUACUGUACACAAAAUUGAUGUAAGUUAAGAACAUGUUCCUUGUACAGUUGUGUUAGCAAGCAAUAAUGUGAAUAUAUUAAAAAAACCCAGAUAUACUCUGCUUAAUAUUUGUAUGAAUGAAGAGUUGAUACCACUACAAGAAUAGUCUUCUCUUUUUAAUCUUUUAAAUACAAGUUUUAUUUCAAGGUAACGUAUUACAGGUACCUUGAUGCUGUGAACUAUUUUUCUAUGUCUUCAAAAUAUUUAUUCUCUGUAAAAUAUUCCCUAGUGUUAUAUUCCUAAAUUGUUCAUAGUGGGAGUGCUCUAGAAAGUUUUAAGUUUUCUUAAAUGUAAGCCUUCUGUAUCUGUUCCCAAAAUUCAUCCUUUGCCCAGCUUUCAUCUGUGGAUUCCUACAGUUCACUUUGAGAAUGGCUCAGCUAUGCUUUUCAUACGAACCUACAAAGGUGUUCCUUUGACUUGAUAUAAUAUGAUUUUUAAUUAACAAAUCCCAGUUUUGUGCUGGCCUCAGUCUUCUGAGUGCCACCCAUGGUUUCUCUACAAAGUAACUGCUUAUCAUUUUCUAAAAAUCAAUUUCAACCUCUUCUUCAGUACAAAUCUGGGUCUACUGCACUCCUCUCACCCAGAAGUAUUAAUUAUAACCUCGGUCUAGUUUCAGCCUGCAGGAGGACAGAAAGCUAACAUUGAUGGCAGCAGAGAUGGGGGAGGUUGGAGGUGCAGAGGAGAGCUUGGAAUUGAACAGAAGUGAUAACUGGUGAUAAAUACCUAUGACCAGAAAUAUAAUUUAUUUAAUUUAUAACUGACUUUUGUGUCAGUUUUCAAUAAAAUGAAUAUUGGGUCACAUGAGGCCUAGAUUUUAUAAAAAAUUUCAUUUGACAAUGGAGAUAAUUUGUGUCAUGGAUGCAGCUUUCCACUGAUGUGGAAACCGAUCCCUCCACUCUAGUGGAGGAUAUGGCUUGUGAUAUGUUCAUAGCAGCUAUUUGUCUUGGUUUACUACUCAAACUUCCCAUGGUGUGUUCUGUCCACUUCCACAGCUACCUUGCCAGCAGCCCCCAAACCCAGUGACAGUAGAGCUGCUUGGGGUGUGAUUUGUGCUGAGACCAGAGCAGUGAACAGUGUGGCUUACAGGUUUACAGAGUAUCCCAUUAGUAAAGCUUCCACAUCAACAGCAGUGAUGCUUAAGAUCUUUUCUACUUCUGGGUGCAUCAGCAGUCAUAGGCUUGGUUAGCAGGCAUUUCUAUAUUGUAUACUGUGACUUUCUCUUUAAGAAAUAACAGACAUCCAAAGUAGAGCUCUGAGCAACUAAAUGUUAAAUCCCUUUGUAAGGAGGCCAGACUUACACCCUCAAAAAGUAUUUUGGGUAUUUUAUUAAUACAAUGCCUCUGACUUAAAAUAUAAUCAGAAAAUUUGAGAAAAUGCAUAUAUUGAGAGAUGACUUUUAUCUCAGAAAUGGUACUCUCCUGAAGAAGUAGUACACUCACCUAGUAGGAAUGUUACAAAACAUUUUCAUAAAAUCCCUUUCAAUUCAUUAAUUACAGUGAUGGAAAUUGAAGAUGGCAGGAACUUUAAUCAACUGUUUAAUGCCUGCGGCAGUUGUCAGGAUUUUCUUUUGAUGUUGCUUCUGAAAUACUAAAUCUAUUUAUUUUGAUUGCUAGUGAGAAGACAUAUAUUACCUUUUUGUCACUUGGCAAAGAACAAAAUUGCACAGUUUGAGCAGACCAGAAGCUAUAGUAGGACUUCCAGGACACAGCAUACUCUUUGCUAAAAUAACUAUUACAUUAUACUAACUUGUUUAGCUUCUUGCAACUCAGCAGUUCCUACAAAUAAUCUUAUCUAUUUAAAAUUUCCUUGAACAGUUAAGUUAGGUAUCAAGUUGAUAAUAAUCAAAUUAUGCCUGUUUCAUCCUUAGCCUACUGAACUAAUGGUGAAGUCAUCAAUGAAUCCCUAUGAGAGCUAAUUAUUAGUUUUAGAAAUAGUUGCCUUUAACUGGUGAAUAAAGAUUUCUUACUUACUGUAAUAGAAUGGAAACAAAUUCUUUUAAUUUUUUUAGCCAUAGGUGGAAAUAAGUUCUGAGGGAGAAGGGCUUUCUCUCUGACCCUAUGUGAAGAAUUCUGAAGAGCUCAUCUGUUGUUAAAUAGUUGUGACUUGAAGUUUAUAUUGGGAUUGACAAACUUCACCAGAAAUGAAAAUGUUUAUGGAGAUACAGGAAGUCAGUAAAUUUUUUGUAAUAGGUCAGUAAGAGUAAUUUUAAUAAACUAUUUAUGCAAAUCCAAAAUUUCCCAUGAUAUGUAAACCCAAGAAAAAUAGUUUGUAAAAGCUUUUUACAGUACUUAGAUAUAAAUUAUAAUCUCUAAGUGAAUUUGUUAAAUGAUACGUUUUUGUAAUUGUCAAGACCAUGAUAUUUAAAUGUAAUACACUGUCUCUCAGACACAGGCUUACUUAAAAGUCAGUUUUAAUUUUUUUUUUUUUUGAAAGUCAUUAUUUAGCCCCAAAGAUUGUGGGAAGAGCUUUAAAAUAUAAUCUAUAACUGCUUAGAAGCCAGGAGCCAAGGAAAAAGAACUUGUCUUUUUUCCCUUCCCUCCAGCCCCCCACCCCAAAGUCUUAAUUUUAAAUUGGUCCCCUUGUUUUGGAGCCCUAGUUUAUGGGUUUUGAGCAGCUGGCAAUAAUGCAAAUUGUCCACCAAAAACCCCAUUUGAAUUCUGAACAGUUUAAAAAGAUCACUUUAAUUGAAGAGGUGAAAGACGUGUUAAGCAAAGAAAAUCCGUGGUUCUUUUAAGUUCUCCCAGCACUGCUGUUGAAUAAUUAAAAUAAGGAUCAUGAUGACCCUACAUUAGGUCAAAAUCCAGAUGAUUUUGUGUAAAGGAAACACUCAAUUAGAGAGGUCUCAGAGCCUCAAAUGUCUUGGAUUCAUAAGUAGUGACUUAUUAAGGAUAAGUGGUGCUGGCUAGUUUUGUACCUGUGACUAAAAUCAUUUAUGUUGCUGUUCAGCAACCUUGCUUAUGAAAAGAAAGCAUUUCAGAAAUCUGUAUUCAUCACUGCUAAUUUGCUGUAAUUUCUGUGCUUCUCCCUAUAGCCAUGUUGCAUUUCCAUGACAAACAGCUAAGUGUAUGAUCAUUAUAAUGCCUUUAAUAGCCAUAUUGUAGGUAGAAAUAUUAACUUCUCAGGGACUAAUAGGAAAUACGAACUUGGAAUUAAUGAGCUGAAUGCCUGUCUGCAUGAAGGCUUACUUUGCAAAUGUCACCCUAGAAACUUGAUUGUAAUAUGCAUGACCAUUAUGAAUGUUAUCAAUAUAAAGUUAUGAGAACUUCUUUUACCCUGUAUUACUAGGCUGCUGAAUGUCAGUGUUGGGUAAGGAUAAAUGAAGGGGGUUUCUUCUGAUUUGGAUGGAGUGAUUAUUUCUAAUGGUGCUACCUUCUUAAUUCCUGUGUUUAUUCUUUGUAAAGUUUUCUCUGUAGGCUGGGUGAAUCAGGGGAUACUGGUGUACUAAGGAAACAGUAUCAUUCUUCUUAAAAAGUAGAAUAAUUUCAAGGGGCGAAGUACUCUAGGAGUGAAAAAAAGUUGCUGCUUAAACCAUGCAUUUAUUCUUUAUUAGGUAUCCAUUUGGACUGUUUUGUUGGUAACAGUACUUUGCAGUUCAUUACUUUUUGAAUUUUCAUCUUUCUGAUGUAUCAGUCAGUGUAGGCUGAAUUAAAAAACAUGUUUGAAAAAUGAAACCCCCUGAUUCCUUGCAUGAAAGGUCAUAUGUUGACACUUGUGCUGAUGUAUAUAUGUAUCCUUACCAUGUAACACCUGGGUAAUAUACAUAUUUCAUAAAACUGUAUUUUACUGGUUUCAUGGAAGUUGUCCUUUAAAAAAAGUCUUCUGGUUUGUUUAGCUCAUUAAUAUUUCAUUAAUAUUUAUUUUCUUGAAAAAGGAUUCAUAAAUGCUUGGCUCUUCAAAAUACAACAGACCAUUAGGAACAAUUUAGUAAGGCAAAAGGUGAAACAUAGGAAUUAGGAGAAGCAGCACUCAAAGACUGGAUUUGGGGAUUAGGUUUAGAGUUCUGUGAGUAUGGCAGAAAAUAGUUUUGAACUGAAUGAAAUGGUAUUGAAUGAUGCAAGUUAAGCAAGAGCUAGCAGUCCAUUUUAGUAAUUAUGUAGACUGUGUAUUAACUUCUGUUCACUUUUUUAUUUUGGUGUGUGAUUGAUUUAUUUUGGUUAUGCUCUAGUUGAUAGACAAUUCUGCUGUCAUGCAGAAUAAUAAUACAGAAGGUAAGCUUCCUUCUAAACUCAGCAUCUCUUCAUUUAAAAUAGCCAGACCCAAGUGGAAUUGCUGAUGAGAGCUGCGCUGAGUGCAGAACAGUCUUUUCCUAAACUGGAGCCUGUAAUGCAUGACUAAUUGUUUCCAAAGAAAAUUCUUGACCUGUCCAGACAGCUCCUGUCAUGUGACAGUAUAUCUAAGGCCCACAAGUAGGAUCCAUUUAGUAAAAUUUAUGUUCAGGUAAGUACGACUUUUGUAGUUAAUUUUAGUUUUAUUUAGAAGGGAACCAUUGACAAAUGCUCUCUUUGUGAGAACAAAUACAUUUUUAUAAUAUUUAUUGAAACAUGCCUUUUUCUUGUUUGCUCCUCAUUUUAUAGCUUAAUAAAUGAAAGUUACUUUGCCUCAUGUUGAAAACUGGACUUAGUAGUCAGCUGAAGACUUUUUUUUUGUUACAGUAUUUUAGGUUUAUGAAUACAUUUUUUAAGUCAUGCUUAGAAAUGUUUCAAAAAGUCAUAUCCUGAUGCAAUGUAACUGAUAUUUUUAGUGGCUGUAUGUUUAAACUGGUUUCAUUGUGCUGAUAUAAAUAUCUAACUCAUCCACUCCAAGUGUGUAUCUCUGAUCCUUUUAUGCUAGCAAUAGGGUUUCUGACUUGUUAGGAUAUGCAGUGUACCUACUGGUUAAUAUUGUCAAUGAUCAGUUUGGUUCAGUGAGAUAUAACAGGGAAUGUGAAGUAGUUCCUGAUUUGAAAAGUGGAACCCAGAUCCUUGUUUUCAUAAAGGAUGGGGUCUGGCAAUCAGAAUACGAACUCAUUCCAAACAUAAAUUUGAAAGAGAGUAGUAAACUACAAAACAGUGCCUAAAUGUUGUGUGCUAAAUUAGACCUGUGUAACUCAUGUUGCAUUAAAAAAAAUUUGCAGAGAAUUGCACUGGACUGUGUGUGCUUAGGAAAGACCUGUUAAAUGUAUGAAACAGUAAUUGUCAAUAGGCCACUGAAAAGACGUUGCCAUCAAGAGGGAAAACUUGAAACCCAAUAUUUUGGAGUAUGUUAAAAAUCCAUGUCAAACAGAAAACGUUUAAGCAAUAAUUUAACCUAAAACUGGAGAUUAAAGAAGCUGCUACUUAUAGAGAGACUUGAUGUUAAUUUUGCCUGUUGGCCGUCUCUCCUCUCACAAAGAGUUUAGAAAGAUAGGUUUGCUGUGAUUUCCACUAUUGUAACAUUCCUCUUCAAAUAUUCUAAAUCCAGGUGAGAGACUCAAAGCUUAGAAGCCAGCACUGUGUUUACAGGGUGCACAGCUUUGGGAGGAGAAGAUAGGAAUAAAAGGACUUUUUUAAGACUGCACAAUUGUAUAUAUGCAUAUUUAAGAAUAUUUAACCAUGUCUGCUAGAUUACUGAGGCUAAUCUGUUGUUGAAUUAUAGAAUAUUAUUUAAUACAUCGGCAUUGGUUUUUUCUGACCUGACCCAGAAUUGGAAAGGAUUCCAAUAUAACUUUUUUAAAAGCAUUUCUUAAGUUGUAUGUAUUAUACACUAAUAAAAUAAUUGUUUAACCUA